AGUGAACGCUGGCGGUAUGCCUAACACAUGCAAGUCGAACGGCAGCACAGUAAGAGCUUGCUCUUACGGGUGGCGAGUAGCGGACGGGUGAGGAAUACAUCGGAAUCUACUUUUUCGUGGGGGAUAACGUAGGGAAACUUACGCUAAUACCGCAUACGACCUACGGGUGAAAGCGGGGGAUCUUCGGACCUUGCGCGAUUGAAUGAGCCGAUGUCGGAUUAGCUAGUUGGCGGGGUAAAGGCCCACCAAGGCGACGCUCCGUAGCUGGCCUGAGAGGAUGACCAGCAAAACUGGAACUGAAAAACGGUCCAGACUCCUACGGGAGGCAGCAGUGGGGAAUAUUGGACAAUGGGCGAAAGCCUGAUCCAGCCAUACCGGGUAGGUGAAGAAGGCCUUCGGGUUGUAAAGCCCUUUUGUUGGGACAGAAAAGCAGCAGGUGAAUACCCCGCUGUUCUGACGGUACCAAAAGAAUAAGCACCGGCUAACUUCGUG
rnacentral:rRNA from 1 species